UACCCACCAGACUCUGCUGGAUAAUCAGCAAGUGCAAAUGUUGACGGAGAAGGCUCGACUCCGUAAUGCUGAUGCUCAGUUCAAGGAGCAAGAGGUUCUUAAGCUGAAGCAACAGCUAAAUGAGUUCAUAGAGGAGAGGAAAGGAUGGAUUGAGGAAAUUGAGAGAAAACAAGCAGAGAUGGUGGCUGCACAGAUUGCACUAGAAAAACUGC